CGCGGUAUUUUUUUUGUUUUUUUUUUCUCUUUUGUCUUCGUUUUCAUUUUCACGAACCACUGCUCAAAUCUGUCGGAAUAUCGCUCCAUUUCGGAGCAGACAGUCCCGAACGAUCUGCAGACCAUGAGGACGGCGAACAUACACGUUUGAAAAUUUCGCAAGGGAACGUUGCGCAACGAAAUUUCUCCCAAAAUUAAUUUAACCAACUGAAAGUGUUGCGAACGAUAACAAUGAUGAUAUUGAGUAAUAAUAAUCAUGAAUAAAUUGGCUAAUAUUUUCUUUCGUUUUUUUCCUUCUAUAACACGUCAGUCGAUGUCCGGAUUUGAGAGAGAAGAAAUCUUCUAGUUGGACGAUCAGUGCGGCAAAAUUCGGAGUGAACUUGGUCCGUAACCCCUGACGGAAUUCCUUUUCAAGAUCGACGAUCAUGAGCAGAAUUCAGUUCGCUGCUUACUGCAAACGUCCCAUCUGAAGCGGAGGUCAUAUAAUGCAUUGCGUACUUCGUGGCCGGGGACUCCAAAAGCUUCGUGCACGGCCACCUGAUAUUGAUUUAUGACCAACGUGCUACAGUUGUUUUGUGAUAAGCGUGUAAAAUAAGUGUAAA
rnacentral:lncRNA from 1 species